GACGAACGCUGGCGGCGUGCCUAAUACAUGCAAGUCGAACGCAGUGGGGACGGGUGAGUAACACGUGGGUAACCUCCCAUCAGAGGGGAUAACACUUGGAAACAGGUGCUAAACCGAUACUGAUGGAUGGACCCGCGGUGCAUUAGCUAGUUGUGGAGGUAACGGCUCACCAAGGCCACGAUGCAUAGGCGACGUGAGAGGGGUGUCAGCCACACUGGGACUGAAACAAGGCCCAGACUCCUACGGUAGGCAGCGUUGGGGUGAGGUCGACUAGGGACGAGAUUCUAGCCGGGAAACGCCGCGUGAGGGAAAAGGGUUUUCGUAUCGUAAAACUAUGUUGUUAGAAAAGCGGUAUCUAACCAAAAAGCAACGGCUAACUCCGUGCCAGCAGCCGCGGUAAUAC
rnacentral:rRNA from 1 species